GGCUUUGUGGAAAUAGUUACUUUGAAAUUAACUUAAGAAUGUUCGACUCAUUCAAAAGCUU
rnacentral:tRNA from 1 species